rnacentral:sRNA from 1 species
AAAACAAAACACAACAGACUCAUCGUUUCUCAUUGGAUCAGUGCUGGGGCUUCAAAGAGGCCUGCUCAUCCCCAUGCUCUUGCGACCCUUUGCCGGAUGCCUCCCUACAGCAGCCGUGCAGAACAGAACUCUUUCUAAAACGUCACCCACAGCAGACGCCAGUGCUUCAGCCAUGGCUUGAACGUUCUCACGUCUCCCACUAUUAUCUGCAUCUGAGUUCUCUUUACUCCCCUUAAACUACGACCGUGAAAGAGAGCGAUUUCUACAUCAUUUAGUUAUUUAUCUCCGUAAUACUCAGGAGUGAAAUUUUUAAAAGUGGCUACCAUUACUCUUGCUGCUAACAAUUGGCAGCUAUCCUGGGGAAGUGGUACGCGGGAUGAAAUGAGCCCCUGUAGGAAACAUGGCCUUUUCUUGUUUCUAAUAUUUUUUCGUCUUUGGUGUCAUCAGUCAAAUUAAUCUAUUUUCUCUUUCCACAUGACUCUCCAAAGUGAGAGAGAAGUUAAGGGUUUGAAGAGGCUGUUCUGGGCUUCCCACUGAACAUGGGGCUUAGGAUGUGGCUGGGCACCUGCUUCCCUUAACCCCUUGAGAUCUGAGAAUUCAGAACCCUUUCCUGUAGCCUAGCAAAAACAAAAACAGGAACAAACAAGGUGGGGGUGGGGUAUGUGGUGGCAUGGGGUGGGGGAUGUAUUACAGAAUACCAGUGCUGGUAUCAUGUUUCUCUUCCCCAUCUCCAUGUCCUAUUCCUCUUCUUCAUUUAUUAUUGUUUUAAAAAAUAACUCAUUGUGUCCAAUUAGUGGUACCUAUUCAUGGCACCAUCCACUAGAGCUUAAAAAAUACACAGACUCUACCUCAUGCUCAUGUAUACUCGAGGGUACAGACCUGACAGUAUACAGAAGACAAGAGAGAACAAUGUAAAGGGCUGAGAGAAAUACAAGUUCUGAGACUUGGGGAGGCACGGUCUCUAUGUAGGAUCCGUGAGUGCCCGGGCAUACUUGGAACUGACACCCGCCGGGACCUACAGGAUGGAGACCUAGCAGGUUAUUGAUUUUGCAGGUGUCUGAAUUUGAAGUGACAAAUUACUUGGUUACAGUCAGCUUUAGUGUUGCCUUCUUUACACAACUACACUAACACAUUUCUAGGCAACUUUGAGGACUCUUAAAAUUAAAACGUUUUAUAAAUAACAAAGCCACAGAGGGAAAACCAGGUGUAUUUACUAUUAUCAAAGUUCAUCUCCAUGUGCGUGUCUGAACAUAGCAACAGCAGCACAGAGGGAUCGCCUCAGUUACCCUGCUCCUCUGGAUCAUUUAGCUGCUGGCUAUGGUAUAGAGCUUCCAUGGUAUAGGACUUCUAUGUUCUAGAACUCCCAUGGUAUAGAACUUCUAUGGUAUAGAACUUCUAUGGUGUAGAGCUUCCAUGGUGUAGAGCUUCUUGUUCCAUCUCUGACUCCUUCCCCUUGCCCUCUGCUACAUGUGCUAUUCCCUCCAUCCCAUGCCAUUCAGAGAACACAGCCCUACACUCCUGCAGAGGCAGACUCAGGUACCUCACAUCUCUGUGUCUAAUCCCUUUGGGGGGGGGGUGAGGAUACACAGCCACCAAGUCUUGUGAAGCUAUGCCAGCCAUCUCAGCCAUUCCCCCGACACAUUCGUGACAUCCUCCUGCCGUAGAGGCUGAGGAUUUAUGUGACUUUAAUUGAAGGCUACAGAAGGGACAGGGAAACAUCAGCUCCUAUCAAUCACCGCGUCCCUUGCUUUCAUUGUGUACUUAACAGCUUGUUACUUAUUCAGGAGGGGGAUUCUGCACUGAGUCUGUCUCCGUGCAAACAGUCUUCCCAGGCUGAAGAAAGCCCUGAAACAGGGAGGUGGCCUCAUUAGGCACACAGGCCUGUGCCGCAUACCGAAACAUGGAGACACAGUGCUGAUGACCACGACUACAGUGGGGGAGUCAAGGGUUCCAGCAUCCUCCCGCUUUCCUGUCUAUGUCCCCGCAAGACUUCCCAGGCGUGUUUGACACCAUGGCCCUUUGUUGUGUUUUCAAAGCGAUCCUUGCUUGGCUCUUCUCAACAAUGAACUCUGCGACUGUUUAACUGAAAUCUCCUAUGGGGGGAACUUGAUGUCUGGUUUACUGUGCUCUCUUACAGAAUGCCUGCAGCACAGCAGACCCCUGAAGGAGCGAGCAUACGGCUGCAUGCACCAGGUCAAGUACCAGAAUAAGGAGGCUGGAGCUUAGCUGACUGCCCCAUCUCAGGAGAACUACAGAGCAAGCAUCAGGAAGACAGGCAUAUACUCUGAGCCACAAGAGGAAGCCAGCAGAGAAACCUGUGUGUCCCACACAGAAUAGCCCUUGGAAAAGUGGUUUUACAUCAGGUCAGUUUCGCCUUUAAUGUGUUUGUUGGCCUCCUGCUGAGACAGAAUAGGUUCACCUUGUGAGCAGGCAAGCUCAGGCUGCCAGCCCUCAGCUCUUCAGAGCCACCCAGAGUUUUCCCAGGGCAAAGGCUUCCUGUCUCCCUCCCUUCAGUGUCCCCUACCUAGCUCUCAUGGUGGCAGCCUCUAUACCUAAAAUAUCAUAGUGCCUCAUGUCCCCCCAGUCCUCUCUGGGUUCCCUUAGUCCCCCCACCCCCGACCCAUACGCCCUGAAACCCAGCAAACCUGACCCUGCCUACAGUUGCCCAAUUGACGCAGAGCACAGUUCCGAACCCGUUCUCUCCCAUGCCUCUUUGGAGACUUUUCUUCCCUGUGAGCCACUCCGAGGCUACCACUCACACCUGUUUCAGUGUACCAGGCUGGCACGAUGCUUCAUGUCCUUUGUGGACACAGUGUGGCUUCUUUGGAAGCUUUUUUCAGAAUGGUCUAUGAAACGCCCCACUCCCCACAGCACCAGCCCAGCCUCAGCCUGGCUAUGGAAGCUGGGUGUGUCUGGGGUCCUGCAAGCGGUACCAGAGAGGCAAGGGUGGGAAAGCACCUCCCCCACUUUCCAGAGGCCAAUCAUUGUCUAAGGUAACCGUGAUUCCAAGUACAUGCCCUUUCACAGCUGGCCCACAUUCCAGGACAACAUCCAACAGAGAGCAGAGCCCUUCCAAAGGCAGAAUGAAUGGCUUUCCCGGUAUUAACUCCCUGGUGUUUAAUGUCCGUGGACUCUGCAGAGAGCCACCUCCGAGAAUCCUGCAGGCAUAAUUGCCUUUCUUGCACUAGACCAGACCUCCGCAUCUCAAUGUGGUUGUGGGGCACUGCCCAGAAUUAAGAACUACAGGAGUCAAAGAGACACAGCUGGAUUACUGACCCUAGAAGGACGGGGCGGCCUGCCUGCUCCAGACCUUGCUGGGAGGUGAAGGCUAUCGUGGGAAAAUGACUACGUAUGAGAGACAAGGAGAGUCCACUAGUGAGAGAGACAAUGCACUUAUUCUACGACGGGGUGGACUGCCUCGUCCUCAUUAAUGGUGGAAACUGAAGAGUAAUACUCCAUUUCACUAGGGACUGUUGUUAAAACAAGUCUCAAAGAGGAUAUAAGGAAUGGAACCAUUACCAGACCUGCAACCCACUGAUGAUGCAGAAGCCACUCGGCCAGGAAAACAAGAGAAGGGGCAACAGAGAAGUGAGAGGUGAGGGAGAGGCUUGCUUGGGGUAUGCUGGGUCGGGGCUCACUGGGGUCGGGGCUAGCUGGGGCCAGGCCGAGAAACAGAAGCUGUGCACUGAAGGCCAGUGUUGUGAUGAACUAAGACAGUCCUUUCAGUUCCACUGGGAAACAGUUUCAAGUGGCCAUCACCAUCUGAAGGCCAGGUAUGGGAACUCAUUUUUUCUUCAGAGUGUGGAAUGGGUGCCAGAACCCUGACAACUGUACACCUCAGGAAUGGCUGCCGUGGAGAGUGGGGUGCUCUCCUCGCAGCUUAGUGCUGACUACUCCUGAGGCCUGGGCUGGGUUCUGGGCUGGGAACCUAUAAGCCAAUCCACCUUUCUGGAACACAGAGAGCAUGUAUAAGAAAGCCAGAAUACUCUCCCAGACGUCACUGGAACCAUCUACUGUGCUGCGGUGACAGAGGCCCUGCGAUGUCUGACCCCUCAGAAACUCUCGCUGACUUCUGCCAUGUUCACAGUGAAGUCUGCCCUCCCAGAUGCAAAUCUCUGAAGCCAGAAAACCCCUCCAGGUUUCUCCUUUUCAAACUGUGGCCAGAGGGUGGCAAUCAAAACUAAUUCAAUAGGACACACCGUGGGGAGGGGAUGGGGCUGCAUGCACAGACAGGUACAGUACUGAAGUCGAAUGAGUUUUCACAAGACUGACUGUUUCUGAAGACAUAUCAAGAAAUGUGUUCUGUGGAAGAGGAGCUGGGCAGCCCUUUCCUGAAGAAAGAGACAGACACGUCACAGGAGAUGGGACAGCUGUGCAUUUGCCCCAUGGGACCAGCAUGACUUCCCACCUGGCUGAGUGCUCACCACACAGGUGAGCCUGGCUUCUGGCUCAUUCCUGUGUGUGCUUGCGAUUCUUGUGUAUCUUAAGCUUCUGCAUGGUAUGGAGCGCUGACCAGGAGGUUGGUACUAUCUAUUGAGUCAGUUAAUGAGCCUGGUCACUCCUCCUAAUGUCCUGGUUCUGACACAACCUUCUGUCCCUGCAGAAGGCUUCAUCUUGGCAGCAGGUGUGGACUCUUCUUGCCAGUGUGGCCUGACCAGAGACAUUUCUACCUCCUGUUAUUUUCUAGAUCCCCGUGAGUGCUCAUCAUCCAACAUGAGGGCCAGCACUGCAUCUUCUGAGACAAGGCAGAUGGGGAGAAGUUCAAGGGGACAGUGUCACACUGUCUGUCUGGAUGCUGUGUGUCCUCCCAAGGCAAUCUCUAAGAACCAUGCCAAGGCUUCUUAAAAAUGUCCAGCUCAGGUUUCUCCACAUGGAGGGAGUGAAGUUCAGGCCUUGAGCUUUUACUAAAGAGUUUACUUUUUUAUUGACUAGUGAAGCAGGCUCCCUUAGGGUUGUCGAGGCCAGGGAAGGGGGAGGUAAUUUUAUGCUUAUAUGGUGUCCGUUAGUCUCUGGGUGCCAUGACGCCCUCCUUCCUAACCAUGGAGCUGUGCUCUGUCUUAAGAGUAACUAAGGGCUCACAGGGAGGUGCCAUUCACAUGGGUGAAUUUGAUCCUCACCAUGUGAGGUACCUGUUCAGGGCCUGUUCUUCUGUUUCCUAGCUUGCCUUCCUCAUCUACAAUCUGUGGAUACUCUCGACGCCUACCUCUGUACUCACGCCAACAAGCUGGUGAGUUCUGCCCAGGGAUGGAGACCCAUCUGCAUAGAGAGCUGCUCUGCUGAGCUACCAAACACUCCUUCCACCUUGAUACACUCGGGAGGCUCCGAUAACUUCCAGGACAGCACAGGAUUUGAACCUUGUGACUAUGGAUGGUAUGCAGCUAGUGAGAGCGACUUCAUCCUACAGUGGCCAUGAGAUGAUGGAUGGACAGCAGAUGCUAUCAAUCUAUGGAUUCUCUGAACUGAAACGACCAAGCCUCUUACUAAGAUUGCUGCAGUUUGGAAUUCGAUAUCUUUUGGUAUCAAACCUACAAUGUGACUGUGAAUUACUGUUUCCACGUGGGAAGAUGAGAAUGUUCCCCCUGGUACUUCCUACCACAGUGAUUUCCCUCAUGCAUGGAUGAAGCAAUAAAACAUAUGAUGGGUUGGAACUCUGAAAAUGUGAGCCCAGGUAAACCUUUCUUCUUUUUAUGUUUGCGUAUCUCAGGUAUUUCAUCACAGUGAUGGCAAGUCCACCAACACAGGAUAGUAAAUAUUACACACCUAAACAUCCUCUUUUGCUAUUGAGCUUGGGAUCUAUAGAUCUUAUUAUUUUUUUUUUUUUUAGAUAAUAGAUCUUUCUACUUUCUUGAUCAUGGAAAGACAUACAAUAUCGUAAAAUCUAGAGACUUCUACUUAUAACCUAAUCGCUCUUAACCCACAAGAGUUAGUUCUUGGGUUGGAAGCUCCAACAGCUUCCCUACACCACCUACAAGGCCUCGGAUGCAGAAGCCUGCUGAUAAUGUCCACCUUCAAGACAAUAGCUGUAAGUCCUCCGCCUUCUGGGACAUUUGGAUGGAGACUGUCUUAGUUAAGGUUUUCACUGCCGUGAUAAAGACCAUGACCAUAAGCAACUCUGGAAGAAAGAGGUAACCCCAGUUCAUAUGUCUCAGGGAUACCAGGACAGGGACUUAAGGCAGGAGCCCAGUGCAGGGGCUAAAGCAGGGGCCAUGGGGGACUGCAGCUUACUAGCUUGCUCCUCAUGGUUUGCUCAGCCUGCUUUCUUAUAGAACCAGCCCAAGAGGUAGCAUUACCUACAAUAACCUGGGUGUUCCCACAUCCAUGUUCUGUUCUAUUGAUAUAGACAGUCUCGGUAAUAGCAACACUUGGAACCAAACACUGCUCAGAAUAGAUUAUGUAAGACCCCUUCCUUUAAUCAUGACCCUGUAGGAGGCAGGAAAGAUUAAGCUGGGGCCAAAGAGGCAAGGGCCAGAAUGGGGAGAGACUAGCUCACAGUGAGGUAUUAUGGUAUACCCACUGGAAAGGGUCAUGGUGCCAAGUGUAGGUGAGGGUGUCAUACAGUGUGAGCUGUCAGAUGCUGAUACUGAACAUGAACAUGAAAAGAAGAAGUAGCUAUUAUGGAGUAAAGAGGAAGAUCCAUCUUAUAUAUCAGUAGCAAGAAGUUGAUAUUAUGUGCAUCCUGGGGGCUAAAUAAGAAUGUGCCUAGCAAUACUGUUUACAAUCAACAACAACGUUACUACCUUAUCAAGUUGAUGCUAUUCAGUAACCACAAUGAAUGGACUACAGUUACGAACACCAGACUGGAUUAGCAGCAGUCACUACUCGUGCACAGUGACUGAGCAAUGGGCCAUGAGUACAGAGAGGAAAUGAUGUUCCUUAAUUGAAACAUUUACAUGCAUCACAUGUGUGUCUAUGGAGGCAAGAAGAGGACACUGGAUCCCUGGAACUUAAGUUGGGAGCUGCCUUGUGGCUGCUGGGAACUGAACCCAGGACCUCUGGAAGAACAGCCAGCGCUCUUAACCGCUGAGGUAGUACUACAGCCCCUGACUUUUUAAUUAUAUUUAAUGUCAAUGACUUUAAAUUUAAAUAACCAUAUUAGCUAGAUAUUUACUAUGUUGUGGACUUGGUAUGACAGUGUAAAACAGCCAACUUACAAUUUCCUAUUUACUACAUGUUAAAAUGACAAUAUUUGUGCUAUCCUAACUUAAAGAGUUAUUCUACAUCCACACUUUGUUUCUAUUUAGCAUGCCUAUUAUCAAUGUUCUGAGAUGUUUUAUAUAUGGCUCAUAUUAUACUACAGGCUACAUUUGUUUCUGGGAUGAUUUUGCUGGGAGGUAUUCAAAACAGAAGAAAAAGGAAAAAUUAUUACUAUAAGAUUCUCUUUCUCACAUAUGGUAUGUAUGUAUGUAUGUAUGCAUGUAUGUAUGUAUGUAUGUGUUACACAUCUAACUCAGAAGUCAUGGACAUCAUGCUAGGGAAAUACACUGUCACAGACCACAUCCCAGUUCAACAGUCUCUAUUUCAGUGGAUGAAGCAGCAGGCUGUGAUCAGAACAAGGGUGCUGGCUACUGUCUAGGUCUAGACUUGAUUGGUGGCUUCACGAACUUUUGCUUUAUAACAAUAUGUGAAAGCAUCUGCCUUCAGGAUGUUAUGCUGUGUGAAGCACCGUGUGCAACAGAAUAAAAAGGCAACCACCGUGAGACUCUGGCCCCGAGGUUUAGCGGCAGGAAACUACACAAAGAAAUAGAAUGGCCAUUAUUUGGGCCUGGGAUGAGUGAGGGACAGAGGGCUUUUUUAAGAAACUCUAUGCAGAGGUUCAUGUUUGCAAGAUGAAAAGAAUUCUGAAGACGGGUGGUGUGAUGGCUGUUCAGUUGUGCGAGAAGGCAAAUGCUACGCUGUGUGUAGUCCAUACAACUCAGAAAGCGUGAGUGCACUCAGUCCAUCUCCUCCAUCUCUACUCUAACCCUGACUCCUCCAUGGAAACGUCACCUUCAAGGAUGGCAAGGACACACACGGAGUUCCAGCCCUGAGUCCUUUGCUGGAACCAUGUCCCUGGCAUGGCUUGCUCCCUUUCGCUUGUGGGGUAUUGGCAGUAGUAACAAGGACGCUACUUUGGUGAUGGAGAAGUCACACAUUAUUGGCGUCUAUUUGCCAGACACUGCUAAGAAUUAGAAAGAGGUUCUGACAUAUUCUUGUGGUGUUAAAAUAAGAGUGAACAUCGAGAACUGAAUCUGCCUUCUAGGAAGGUACAAUUGUUCCUUGGUAUACGGUGGGGUUUGGUCUCAGAACUCCAUAAAUGCUCAAAUCUAUGGAUAUUCAUAGUCUUUCUAUAAAAUGUGUACAUUUUGCUUGUAACCUAAGCAAACUCUCCUGAGUACUUUAAAUUGGCUCUAUGGGGUACAAUGGAAUCGCGAGGUAAAUCGCUGCUCUCCCUUACUGUUUCUGGCAUAAUGACUGGAAAUUUGCACCCCUUCAGUAUAAGCACAAGUUUCCCUCCCAAAAUUUCAAUCUGAGGUUGGUUGACUCCUUCGAUGUGCUGCCUAGCAAGAUGGUGAGCUAACACUAUAAACAGGCUAGCCUCCAGAAGGAGCCAGCCUACAGAAAUCACAGGGAGGACCUUUACCAGUGGAAAGCAAGGUGGUUAUUGUGGGUGUGCUGUUUAGUGCCAAGUGUCAGCUUGGCACAGAUUAGAGUCACCUGGAAAAUGACCUCAGAGUGACUGCCAAGUUAGGUGGGCCUGUGAGCAUGAGAUGAUGUUAAUUGAUGUGGGAAGACCCAGCCUAGAGUAGGUGCCACCAUUCUGUGUUUUGGGAUCUCAGACUACGCAUGCAUGAGCUCGCUGUCUCCCUGCCCUUGAGUGUAGGUGUGGCCAACUGCUUCACUGUUCCCUGCCUUGGUUUCCCCAUAAAGACACUGUGACCCAGAACUGUGGGCUGAAACAAACCCCUUUUGCCACCAACUUGCUUUUCCUGUGGUAUUUUAUUAUAAUAACAGAAAGGGAAGGAGGCUAAUCCCUCAUCCUUCUAUAGGUUUGUGUGAAAAGCAUCCUUGCUAAAUAGCAAUUUAAUAAAUAGGAGGGUAUAUAACACACACACACACACACACACACACACACACACACACACACACACACACUGAACCACCAUGGAAAGAGGCAAUGUGAGUGACCCUUUUAGGUUCAAAGCCUCUGCUCAUUGCUGCUGUGGCUUCCAGCAUCUAACCUGAAGUCUAGUAGCCAGUGAACCGCAAAAUCAACAUUGACUUGUUGGGAACAAAUAGUUUGCAUCGCCAGAUUUUUUUGUUUUGUUUUGUUUUUGUUUUUCAGAUUCUACCUUCUCUUAAGUCAGAUAUGUACUGAGAUGAAUACACCAUAACCAUUCUUUUACGGAGGCGAAGUUAUUCUCUGAGGUAAUCGUGAAGCUGAGUCCUAGCAAAGGUUUGUAAGGAGAUGCCUAGCAGACAUUUCUAGCAUGUAACAAAUGCCACCAGGGUCACCCAGAAUGAAGAACGAAUGCCCAGACUCACGGACAGUCCCUGUUCUGAAGGCCACCAGCUGGGCCUUUCUAGGCCAAGGACCUGGGCAUUGUUGUUGAAUGGAGGAGGAGGAGCGUUCAGAGAACUCCACUGGUCAUGUAUAAAUUUGGGAAGUCCAACAGGAUCUACGGCUACCGGUUGUUAACCAUGGAAAUGGUAUGGCCAACACUUCAAAGACUUAGUGUUUCUGGAGGUCCCAGCCAGGUAAGUUUGAGAUGACUCAGACAUCGGCAUUAUUGACGCCCAUCUAAGCAUCUAUCCUAGCAUGAGGUUUUCCUCUGGUUAUGCCAAAGCUCUUUCAUGUUCUUAUUUUGUGUUGAAUGAAAACAUCGGAAUUUCCAGAAUCCCGGAUAUCUGCAUUUGAAAGACCUCAAUGGGGGACUCGGAGGUCCUUGACUUUGCCGAGCUUCAGUAAGGAGGGACAUGUCUCCUCUCUUAGGACUGUUGGGAGGACUAAGUACAACCAUACAUGUCAGUCCUGGAACAAGGCCCUGUUCAUUCCUUCAUCAGUCAGAUUUUCCUCGCUGAGACCAGACGCCAGAGAGAGAAACUCAGAGGAGCAUGUUCCAAAGCUUCUGAGGCCUUGGUCUGAUUCUGGCGGAGCAGAGGGGACAGAGGAAUACAGGAGAGGCCCAGGGAAAGCAAGCAGUAGCACUGAGGACGACAUCUCCAGUGACCGCUGCCUCCUGACUUUCACCAGUUCCCAAUGAGGCCGUCUAUGUUAACGGCUCUGGCAGGGGAAUCUAUCCACUGACAGUGUUAGAGUCCUCAGGAUCGGAUCAUUCUCCCAGACCCAUCAGCCGGGAACCAAGUCACUAACAGUUCCUACUCGGAAGACUCCCCUCGUUUGUGGGAAUGAAAGCAACAUUCUGGUUUAAGUUUCAGAACAGAAUUCAGAGCCCUGAGAGCAUGCCUUGUGCUUUGAGAACAGAAAAGCUUAGGAACUGAGAGCUCUAAGUAGCCGGCCCCUGGGGGUGGAGGUGGGGGUGAGGACCAGAACAGCGCCUAAUUUUGAAGGGAAACAGGAAGAGGUCUGAGUCACACUCAUCAGCUCUCACACCGGGAUCUCCAGGCAGCUACUUAGUAACUUUUCUAUCCUCCUCCUGUGCUGUGAAUCAAAGAGCUUAAGAUCCCAGGCUCUGGAGCCAGCCAGAAUUCUGGUGUGAACCCUAGUCCUGUCACUUUCUGGUUAUGAGACCUUGAACGGAUUGAUUAGUACCUCGAUUUCCCCUGCUGUAAAUGGGAUCAGUAAUACUGCGGACGUUUCACAGCAUGAGGGUUGAGUGAGUUAAUAAAAUGUGUUCACAAGAGAGGGAAUGCUAGCCAUCACAGUUUUAGGGCUGAAAAUGGCAUAGCCUAAGACCAGAUCAUUUUUCACCUGGACUAUUUCAUCUGUCUGUCUGUCAUAUAGAUCUAUGCUGACAGAAGUUUUUCUUUUUUCUUUUUUCUUUUUUUUUGG